rnacentral:rRNA from 1 species
UACGGAGGAUGCGAGCGUUAUCCGGAUUCAUUGGGCGUAAAGCGCGCGCAGGCGGACCGUUAAGCGGGACCUCUAAUCUCAGGGCUCAACCUUGAGCCGGGUCCCGAACUGGCGUGUCUCGGGUUCGGUAGGGGAGGUCGGAAUUCCCGGUGUAGCGGUGGAAUGCGCAGAUAUCGGGAAGAACACCGAUGGCGAAGGCAGACCUCUGGGCCGCAACCGACGCUGAGGCGCGAAAGCUAGGGGAGCAAACAGG